rnacentral:sRNA from 1 species
UCAUUGGAUAGGAGCAUAGAAGCUUUGC